AAUGUAACAAAAUAGUGUUCGAUAAAAAAUAUUAAAAAUGUUUUUGUUUGGCACAAUCGAAAUUUAAAAGUGUUUAGUAUAAGCGCUGCGCGUACAUGUAAAAUGUAAAUAAAAAUAAAACAAAAUUCACAUUCUGUUCAACAGCAAUAUAUACACACAUGCACACCAAGUAAUAUGACUCCAUCUGCCUCCGAAUCUAAUAUUCAGUCCUCUACUUGACUUGCCUGCCAAUUGCCUCUCAAAGCAGGGCCACUACGGAACUGCCGACAAAUAUUACACACAUCUCUGGAAACGAUAUUACAGAUGUUAGUAAUGCACGACGGGACCAUGCCCCCAGAUUUAAGGGCGUGCAUAACACUAUAUAUACAUACAUUCUUGCAUCAUAUAUUAUAUAUAAGUAUAUAAGACGGAGGUACAAAAGAUUUUUAUGCCAAAAUCCCAUUUCAGCCACACACCUAUUCCGUAUUGAACGGUACCGCGUUCUUUAAACUUCGAUUAUAAAUAACCUGGCCACCUUCGCUCCAAGAGUUCGUGCAGUUUGCGUUCAAGCAGAAUUUGAGACAUUAUUUGUACCACGUGUUACACACAUAUAUAUAAAUAUAAAAUGAUAUGCGAUGACUAAAUGAAAAA
rnacentral:sRNA from 1 species